UAAUCAUCUUAAUACAUUCAUCUCAUCAUUGUGAAAAAAUAAAAAAAUUAAAAGAGAAAUUACAAUAUAUGAGUUGUAGUAUAUACAGUAUCUAUGUCAAAUUCAGAAAAUAUUAUAUUAUAUUAAAGAUGGAAUCAAGUAAAAUGUUUAGAAUUCUAUCAAAUAAAAUGUAGAGUAUAUAUGUGGUAACAAGGAAACAAUAAAUUUAUGAAACACCUAAAAAAUUAAAAAGUGAAAAUUUAAUAUUUUAUUUAGAACACAAAAUCUAUCCUAUACUAAAAGCCCGAUAUAGAGUGAUUUCACAGUGUCCACGUCGACAAAUUUAUUCGGCCAAUCAAAACAUUUCAAUAAUACACGUAUGAUCUCCUAAAGAUGUUGCUUUUGUAUGGGCUUUAAUGUGGUUUUAUUGGGCUUCACGGUUUCAAUCUACUGGUACAAUUAGAAGAAAAAAAAAACCUGAGACGGAUAACACGAUGCUCUCUCCUCUAUCUCUUCGUCUUCACCGUUUCCUCUCUAUCGUUUCAGUUCUCUCGAUCCUCAUCUCCACAAUCAAUACUCCAUUACAUCUCGAUCCAUCAAUCUCUUCUUUAUGAUUUCGAUUCCGUAUACUCUUUCCCUGCUGCUUUAUAUACUGAUUUUCUCUCUUGAGUGCAAACCAAACCAGCUCAUCUCCGAGGAUCUCAGCCGCCGCUACUUCCACCAGCCCAUCUCCGCCGUCGUUUACUGCCACUCACGCGGCGUGAGCUGAUGGGCGUGGAUAUGCUACUUAUUGAUCCAAGGCAAAGCUCAUCCACGUCUUUAUCAAUGUUCACCGUCUUAACACCUUUAAACCAAAUCCGCAACGAAGCAGGUUCACUUAGGUCUCAAUUUCAAGUUAUUAGCUAAUUUCCAAAGAGUUUCAAGUUAUUAGCUAAUUUCCAAAGACAAGCAUAUAGGUUUUUCACAAAAUAUGUUGAGAUGUAUAUAUAGCAUUCAUAUAUUGUCAUAUACUAAAAACUACCUAUAAAUAAUGCUGUUUUUUAAGUACCAUAAGCACUAACGGAAUCCAUUUCAGGAAACUACCGGAGCUUGGCUGAGAUCGCCAUGAAAGCAUAGAAGCAAUAUCCAGCCAACGAAUUUACUUUAUUAAUCUCAUACAAGUUUACAGGCUUAAAAAAAAGUUUACAGACUUAACGUAGGAUGGUUAUCGUGAAUGCAAUAUACCUUGCGCUGUUUAUUGUUCUAUCGCCUGUCUCACCUAAUAAUAUGUCUCAUAAUUUUGUUUUGGUCACUUUUAUUGUGCCUCAUAGUCAGUAAUGUUUCUUUCAUUCAUCACGCCAUUUUCAGGCUCAAAAGGAACGAAUGAAGCAAGAAAUUACAGGAACGGAUCCCACAACAGCCUAACGCCACCAAAAGACGCAAGUAAAAGGCUUCCUCUGGUGAGUGGUGAUGAGCUACAAAAUCAAAGGGAUGACAAACGAAUUUGAAGAGUUGGGCAGUCCACAAAGAGAGAGAUGAUGCUGUCACUGCCAAGGCAUUAUCGACAUCUUGAAAAUUUUAAGAGAAGGGAAAGGGCACUAAUGGCCGAGUUGGGGAGCCUGUUCAUGGUUCUAUUGGCAAGAACCGAGAUGUAACUGAAGAGAAGAGUAGCUUUGACCUUGCAGAAACCAAAUAUGGAAACACGGUUGAGAAACGCAGUUAGUAAACUUUUCAAACUUCUAAUGCCCACGGAGAAAUACACCACAGGAGUAAAGAACAUGGUGCUUGAGACACUGUCUUCUGUAAAAAUUGAAGGCUUCGUGGAUGGAUUCAGAGGUGAAACCAAAGCGGCCAGCACGGAAAAGACGGUGGACAAGUAGUUGAGAAUCAUAAGCUGGAGAUGAAGUAAAGAGCAAUGAAAUGGCAUCUUUGGCUAGAUCGAGGGAAAAUCUGAUGCUUCAUGUAGCCUCUUAUGCUUAGACGUAUGACAUGAGAUUUUCUCAUCCCACGGAAUAGUUGUGUGCCGGUAGCGACAAGGAGUAUCAAGUUCAAUGCAGACCAAUUAGGAGAUUAAGAAGAGUGUGUGUGGGGGGGAGAGAGGCUGUGCUGUGUAAGAAUAGGGAGAGGGAAUACUCAUAAGGAUGAAUUUGAGAGAAUUUUGUUGUAGUCAUUGUAGUCAUAAACGGUUAAUUUCAUUAGUUUUCCCAACAUCCAGCCAAAUUAAAAAUAACUCAUGCACUCAGGCUCUUAAAGCUUAUUUUAAGAUUGUUAUCUCUCAUGUCAUGUUAGCAAACAAAACAUACGUUCAGUUAGAGAUGGCAAUUGGGUUGUACCGACCCGCCUUGUCCCGCCCCACCGCGGUACACGGUCAAUGCGGGUCUUCGCGGUACAGGCCCGCGCGGGAUGCGGUUCCUAGAAGAGCUGCCCAAUCCCGACCCGCGACUUGCACAAGCUUUGGCGGUACAGGCCCGCGGGACUCCGAUCCUCAUCAAUACAUGCGCUACUGAUGGCAAUUGGGAUGUACUGACCCGCCUUUCCCGUCCCGCCAUCUCUAUCCUGAGCAUAGCACCUGCAAGAAAAAGAGACCAAUAGAGAUGAGAACACAACAUGUCCUAUGAAUCAGUUGAACACAAUGAUGCUCAGCCAAAGGAUUGAGAAUCAUAUCGAAAGCGCACAUAGAAACUCAAUGUAACAUAGAAACAUAGAAAGAAAGAAACUGGUGAACUCGAGGGAAGGUCCUCCAGUGUUCGAGCAGCCUUAGAUGACUCUUGAGAAGCUUAUGGAGUAUGGUAACAUGCUUGUGAUGGAGCAAGAAAACGUCAAGAGAGUCCAGCUUGCUGACCAAUACCUUAACGAGGCUGCGUUGGGAGAGAACGUCAAGAGAGUCCAGCUUCACUGUGUAACUUGCGUUGCAGGUAAAAGUGCACAGUAAGUGAAUUUGCCGGUUCCUUAAGGAUGUUACUGAUCCUGUCAUCCUGCGGCCAAAAACUUUGAUCCAAUGGCUUGAAGUGACUGAUAGAACUUGUGUCUUCAACUUUUGAGCUUUCCCUACUUAAAUAAAUCUUCUGUUUUUUUUUUUCUUCUGCUUUUGUGUAAUUGUGAAUUGGUGAUUAUGUGCAAACUUUCAUAUAUUACAGUUGCCCUUUUAUCAUAAA